rnacentral:rRNA from 1 species
AAACUGGGGAUAGAUACCCCACUAUGCUCAGCCGUAAACUCAGACAUCCAGCUACAAUUAGAUGUCCGCCAGGGUACUACGAGCAUUAGCUUAAAACCCAAAGGACCUGACGGUGUCUCAGACCCCCCUAGAGGAGCCUGUUCUAGAACCGAUAACCCCCGUUCAACCUCACCACUUCUAGCCACCCCAGCCUAUAUACCGCCGUCGUCAGCUUACCCUGUGAAGGUAAUAAAAGUAAGCAAAAUGGGCACAACCCAAAACGUCAGGUCGAGGUGUAGCGCAUGAAGUGGGAAGAAAUGGGCUACAUUUUCUAAUAUAGAAUAUUACGAACAUGCACCAUGAAACAAUGCUUGAAGGAGGAUUUAGUAGUAAAAGGGAAAUAGAGUGUCCCUUUGAACCCGGCUCUGAGACGCGUACACACCGCCCGCCGGUCACCCUC